UACAGAGGUCCCAAGCGUUGUUCGGAUUCAUUGGGCGUAAAGGGUGCGUAGGCGGCGCGGUAAGUCGGGUGUGAAAUCUCGGGGCUUAACUCCGAAACUGCAUUCGAUACUGCCGUGCUUGAGGACUGGAGAGGAGACUGGAAUUUACGGUGUAGCGGUGAAAUGCGUAGAUAUCGUAAGGAAGACCAGUGGCGAAGGCGGGUCUCUGGACAGUUCCUGACGCUGAGGCACGAAAGCUAGGGUAGCGAACGGG
rnacentral:rRNA from 1 species